UACAGAGGGUGCGAGCGUUGUCCGGAAUCACUGGGCGUAAAGGGCGCGUAGGUGGUGGCUUAAGCGUGCGGUGAAAGCUCGGGGCUCAACCCCGAGUCGGCCGUGCGAACUGGGCUCACUGGAGCAUAGUAGAGGCAGGUGGAAUUCCGGGUGUAGCGGUGGAAUGCAUAGAGAUCCGGAAGAACACCGGUGGCGAAGGCGGCCUGCUGGGCUAUGGCUGACACUGAGGCGCGACAGCGUGGGGAGCAAACAGG
rnacentral:rRNA from 1 species